CCUACGGGCGGCAGCAGUGAGGAAUAUUGGUCAAUGGACGAGAGUCUGAACCAGCCAAGCAGCGUGAAGGAUGACUGCCCUAUGGGUUGUAAACUUCUUUUAUAUGGGAAUAAAACGUUCCACGUGUGGGAUUUUGUAUGUACCAUAUGAAUAAGGAUCGGCUAACUCCGUGCCAGCAGCCGCGGUAAUACGGAGGAUCCGAGCGUUAUCCGGAUUUAUUGGGUUUAAAGGGAGCGUAGGUGGAUUGUUAAGUCAGUUGUGAAAGUUUGCGGCUCAACCGUAAAAUUGCAGUUGAAACUGGCAGUCUUGAGUACAGUAGAGGUGGGCGGAAUUCGUGGUGUAGCGGUGAAAUGCUUAGAUAUCACGAAGAACUCCGAUUGCGAAGGCAGUUCACUGGACUGCAACUGACACUGAGGCUCGAAAGUGUGGGUAUCAAACAGGAUUAGAUACCCCAGUAGUC
rnacentral:rRNA from 1 species